rnacentral:lncRNA from 1 species
UUGAGAGAGAGAAUGCAGGCAGAACAAUAAGCCUAGAUGGAUACUCGGAUGUGAAGAGGGAAAGCACUUGAGCAUGACUCCCAGCUCAGUUAUGAUGUCAUUAAAUUUAUGACACUGGAAAUUUAGGGGAGAGUGGGCAGAUGGGAAAGGCAGAGGGAAGAGCAUAGGGAAGGCAGCUAAAUUCAAUUGGGGCAUGCUGAGAUUGAGUUCUCUGUGGUCAUUCAGACAGAACUGUCCACUAAGAAGAAAUGGAAUCUAUGGUUCUGCAGGUCAGAAUGGUCUGUACCAGAGAUGAAGUCAUCGGUCUACAGAUGAAUUGAGUGAAAGCAAUCACCCAAAGCCAGGCAAGGUGUCAGAGCUCCAACAUCAAAAGGUGGUUGACUGGUGGGUUGGUAAGAAUUUACCACUGACCGUAUAGGACUGGAAAAGGAAAGGUUUAUUAGGUAGAAAGAACGCUGUCGAAGAGUGCAGCUGCAGCGGAGCACCUCAGCAAGAGAGGACUGAGUGCAACACAGUGGAUCCUUCCUCAGGGGUAUUUAUGGACCUUAAAGCCGGAGCUGAAUUUUCCGUGGCCGUAAGAAAACGAAUCUCGGGUAUUUACCCCAGACAAGGAAGCCGCUUCAUAAUUACUUCUAAAUUCCUCAGAUAAGGAGUUUUGUCUUCAGGUGGCCUGCUUGAUGGUCACCAGGUGAUCUUUGCUCUCCUCACCGAGGAGGCGUCAUGUACACUGGGAAGAAAGGAGACCUCAGGACAGAACUCUGGGAAACACAGCCUCCAAUUGGCAAGCAGAGGGAGAUGAUCCUCCAAGGGGCUUAAAGACAAGUGGAAAGAGAGCUAGGAGGCUGGUGCCAUGGAAGGCAAGAGAAAGGAAUUUUAUGUGCUGGUGAAAAACGUUACUAAGUAUUUUCCUUCUUCAUUUAUAGAGUAUUUU